rnacentral:rRNA from 1 species
UACGAAGGGGGCUAGCGUUGUUCGGAAUUACUGGGCGUAAAGCGCACGUAGGCGAGAUAUUUAAGUCAGGGGUGAAAUCCCAGAGCUCAACUCUGGAACUGCCUUUGAUACUGGGUAUCUUGAGUAUGGAAGAGGUAAGUGGAAUUGCGAGUGUAGAGGUGAAAUUCGUAGAUAUUCGCAGGAACACCAGUGGCGAAGGCGGCUUACUGGUCCAUUACUGACGCUGAGGUGCGAAAGCGUGGGGAGCAAACAGGG